rnacentral:rRNA from 1 species
GAACCAGUACCGUGAGGGAAAGGCGAAAAGAACCCCGGCGAGGGGAGUGAAAAAGAACCUGAAACCGUGUACGUACAAGCAGUGGGAGCCCCACCACCAAAGCAUUCUCUGGUGUUGAAGGCCCUGCAAAGCAGCAUCGCGGUGGCGGAGCGUCGUUUGCGACGCCCAACACACAAAACAAGCGGUGAGUGCUUUGGGGUGGGGUGACUGCGUACCUUUUGUAUAAUGGGUCAGCGACUUAUAUUCUGUAGCAAGGUUAACCGUAUAGGGGAGCCGCAGGGAAACCGAGUCUUAAUUGGGCGUUAAGUUGCAGGGUAUAGACCCGAAACCCGGUGAUCUAGCCAUGGGCAGGUUGAAGGUUGGGUAACACUAACUGGAGGACCGAACCGACUAAUGUUGAAAAAUUAGCGGAUGACCUGUGGCUGGGGGUGAAAGGCCAAUCAAACCGGGAGAUAGCUGGUUCUCCCCGAAAGCUAUUUAGGUAGCGCCUCGUGAAUUCAUCUCCGGGGGUAGAGCACUGUUUCGGCUAGGGGGCCAUCCCGGCUUACCAACCCGAUGCAAACUGCGAAUACCGGAGAAUGUUAUCACGGGAGACACACGGCGGGUGCUAACGUCCGUCGUGAAGAGGGAAACAACCCAGACCGCCAGCUAAGGUCCCAAAGUCAUGGUUAAGUGGGAAACGAUGUGGGAAGGCCCAGACAGCCAGGAUGUUGGCUUAGAAGCAGCCAUCAUUUAAAGAAAGCGUAAUAGCUCACUGGUCGAGUCGGCCUGCGCGGAAGAUGUAACGGGGCUAAACCAUGCACCGAAGCUGCGGCAGCGACGCUGAUGCGUUGUUGGGUAGGGGAGCGUUCUGUAAGCCUGUGAAGGUGGCCUGUGAGGGUUGCUGGAGGUAUCAGAAGUGCGAAUGCUGACAUAAGUAACGAUAAAGCGGGUGAAAAGCCCGCUCGCCGGAAGACCAAGGGUUCCUGUCCAACGUUAAUCGGGGCAGGGUGAGUCGACCCCUAAGGCGAGGCCGAAAGGCGUAGUCGAUGGGAAACGGGUUAAUAUUCCCGUACUUGGUGUUACUGCGAAGGGGGGACGGAGAAGGCUAUGUUGGCCGGGCGACGGUUGUCCCGGUUUAAGCGUGUAGGCGGGUGUUCCAGGUAAAUCCGGAACGCUGUUAACGCUGAGGCGUGAUGACGAGGCACUACGGUGCUGAAGCAACAAAUGCCCUGCUUCCAGGAAAAGCCUCUAAGCAUCAGGUAACAUCAAAUCGUACCCCAAACCGACACAGGUGGUCAGGUAGAGAAUACCAAGGCGCUUGAGAGAACUCGGGUGAAGGAACUAGGCAAAAUGGUGCCGUAACUUCGGGAGAAGGCACGCUGACACGUAGGUGAAGUGAUUUACUCAUGGAGCUGAAGUCAGUCGAAGAUACCAGCUGGCUGCAACUGUUUAUUAAAAACACAGCACUGUGCAAACACGAAAGUGGACGUAUACGGUGUGACGCCUGCCCGGUGCCGGAAGGUUAAUUGAUGGGGUCAGCGCAAGCGAAGCUCCUGAUCGAAGCCCCGGUAAACGGCGGCCGUAACUAUAACGGUCCUAAGGUAGCGAAAUUCCUUGUCGGGUAAGUUCCGACCUGCACGAAUGGCGUAAUGAUGGCCAGGCUGUCUCCACCCGAGACUCAGUGAAAUUGAACUCGCUGUGAAGAUGCAGUGUACCCGCGGCAAGACGGAAAGACCCCGUGAACCUUUACUAUAGCUUGACACUGAACAUUGAGCCUUGAUGUGUAG